AUUGAACGCUGGCGGCAUGCCUUACACAUGCAAGUCGAACGGCAGCACGGGAGCAAUCCUGGUGGCGAGUGGCGAACGGGUGAGUAAUAUAUCGGAACGUGCCCAGUCGUGGGGGAUAACGUAGCGAAAGCUACGCUAAUACCGCAUACGAUCUAUGGAUGAAAGCGGGGGAUCGCAAGACCUCGCGCGAUUGGAGCGGCCGAUAUCAGAUUAGGUUGNGGUGGGGUAAAGCCCACCAAGCCGACGAUCUGUAGCUGGUCUGAGAGGACGACCAGCCACACUGGGACUGAGACACGGCCCAGACUCCUACGGAGGCAGCAGUGGGGAAUCUUGCUCAAUGGGCGAAAGCCUGAAGCAGCGACGCCGCGU
rnacentral:rRNA from 1 species